GAUGAACGCUGGCGGCGUGCUUAACGCAUGCAAGUCGAACGGGAAACUUUUCAUUGAAGCUUCGGCAGAUUUGGUCUGUUUCUAGUGGCGGACGGGUGAGUAACGCGUGGGUAACCUGCCUUAUACAGGGGGAUAACAACCAGAAAUGGUUGCUAAUACCGCAUAAGCGCACAGGAUCGCAUGGUCUGGUGUGAAAAACUCCGGUGGUAUAAGAUGGACCCGCGUUGGAUUAGCUAGUUGGCAGGGUAACGGCCUACCAAGGCAACGAUCCAUAGCCGGCCUGGGAGGGGGAACGGCCACAUUGGGACUGAGACACGGCCCAGACUCCUACGGGAGGCAGCAGUGGGGAAUAUUGCACAAUGGGGGAAACCCUGAUGCAGCGACGCCGCGUGAAGGAAGAAGUAUCUCGGUAUGUAAACCGCUUUCAGCAGGGAAGAAGCGAAAGUGACGGUACCUGCAGAAGAAGCACCGGCUAACUAUGUGCCAGCAGCCGCCGUAA
rnacentral:rRNA from 1 species